AUGAAAGGUCGCCUUCACUAACAGAACCUAUUGUUUGACAGGCCGGCUGAGGUCCUCUCCAUCCUGCCGAUUCUGAGUAUUUGAAGACCUCAUGACUCUCCUCCCUUUUAUUACCCUUCCAGGGACCUGGUUGGUGGCUGCACAGCAAGUGAACUGGGGCCCUUUCCCGGCGCGGCCACACCCACUCUGACCUCGCGACGUCUGAUUGGCUGUAGCUCACAGGUCGUGCACCACAUUUAGGUCCGCAACACACCUUCGGAAGAACUUUCAUGAUGUUCUCUAAGAGGCCAGGUGCUGGAGGUGAG
ensembl:lncRNA